AUACCUAAGAUUUACAUGCUUAAGCACCUUUCCAGUUAUGGACUGCAUUUUUUUACAUAAACUGUUUUCCAGAAUAUACCAUUCAAUUAAACAGUGGUUGGGUACUUCAUUCUGUUUUGGCAGCCUGCUACUUUUUGUACCCAAUAUGUCUUUCAAGAGCCAUUUACACUCAGAAUGGAUAAUUGUAAGGAGUUAUUUCAUUGAAUCAUCAUCAUAUAUUGCUUUGGGUUUGAAAGGAUCUUGAAGAUCAUCUAUGUUCAACAGUUAUGGACUUUUCCCAUAACAUUUCUCAUACUAUUGGGACAAAGGUGGUCUCAAAAUUAUUUACUAGCAUGGAAUAUGAGCUAAUAUGAUGAUUUGACUGUGAUCAUCUAUAUGAUGAUUUGUCUGAUCACAGACAAAUCACCUUGCAUGGGAACAGAAGCACUGAAAGAAGCGGAAGAGCGAGCCAGGAAACAAAAAUGAAAGCAAAACAAACCUCCAAACCAAUUUUCCUUCUGGGAUGGUGGAACAAACAAUUGGAAGCAAAUUACUUAAUAAUAGACUGAUAACAACAUUUUGUUCUCCAGGGUAUUUAUCCCACUCAGUUUCCACAGUAAAGUGAAGACGGUUCACCCAGAGCAUUUUGAACAGCACCUGAUACAAAUGCUCCCCUUCAACUCUCUGGAGAAACCUUUCUUCACUGAUUACAGACAAAGCCCAAGGACACUACCAAAGCAUUUAAUGACAACCAUUAAAAUAAAUAGCUGAAAGAAAUAUAACCUAUCUUCUGAGAUGGAAGAUGUGAGGCAAAGAAGAAAUAAGAAGCUGCUGCAUAGUGACAAAUGUAGCAAUUCAUGAACUGUGACUGAAUAGGUCUGCAGGAGGUGGUGGAGGGAAACACACCUUUCCCUGUCAGCAGGAGAUGCCCUGCUCAGGGGUUUCAUUACCUGGAGGAGAAUCAGAACUAAAUGGAAAUGCAAUGGAGUACUGGUGCCCAUGGAGCAUUAGCCUCUUGACAUCAUCAGCACUACUGGAGCUGGAAUAUAGCACUGUCAGGUCACAGAGGCUGACAUAUAUAAUUACACAAGACCACUACCACUGGAAGAGAGUUAUGUUCUGCUUUCCUUUCUGGUUUGGCUUUCAAAAAAACAAAAAAAAGGUCGGUAAGAUUUCUCACAGAGUCUGUGGAUUUGCUGCUUCCCCCACUUUUUUCACCCUGUGUGAAGAUGAAGAUCCUGAUGCUGUUUGAUCAUGGACACACUGGUCUCUGCAGGGCAUGUAUCAGCAGGUGAGCCAAAGGCAAGAAAAAGGACCAACAGAGGAAUGUUGAUCCACCAUAACCACAGUGGAGUCCACCAGGCCAAACCACACCUCCUAAGGAAGGAUUCUGGAUGUGCAAACACAUGUGAAAGCAGUAUGGAGAAAUAAGAGCCAGUUUGCUGAGUAAAACCCUUGCUCUUGAGAAUCCCAAACCUGCAAUAUGCUCAUGAAGUUUGACCAGCUCUAAUUUAGGCCCAUGAACUGGACAGCCACUAGGCACAGCAGCACAAAGCAGUGAGACACAGAGUACAGAAAUGGCUCAGUUACACUUGAGGCAAAUCAAGCUUGCAAGUUCCAGCACUGUUCAGUGAUGUGAAACAAGCGAUGCUGUGUGGGUGCAUUUGGGAAUGCACUUCUGACCCAAAUGAAAAUGCUGAUUUAGACCAUGUGAACUCUCUUUUCUUCAGCCCAAAAGCUGCUCAGUUUGAGAUAUUUUCAAAGUACUUUCUUGAGAGUAAGGCCGUAUAAAUUGUCAUCAAUCCUAGUAACUAUUCCUUUGCCCUUUUAGUCAUGUUGGCCUGCUUUUUACCUUUUCUUUCUGCUGUAUAUCACCCAUUCAUAAAAAUGUUACAUGAUAGGGAUUGAUGUCCUUCUCUAACCAAACAAUAUCUUCAGUUACUGUGACAAAGAAUAACACUGCUGAAUUAUGUAUCAAGUAGUACAGAAAACAGUUCUGUCAAAAAAAAUAAAACUAGCAAUCUUAGAAAAUAUUUAAAUGAG
rnacentral:lncRNA from 1 species